UUGCAGUGAGCACUGCACUGCACUCCAGCCUAGGUGACAGAGCAAGACUCCGUCUCAAAAAUAAAUAAAUAAAGGGGGUUUCUUAAGAAAUAUGUGGUCACCUCAGAGCUCCUGCAUAUAUUUUGGGAGUGGGAGUGGAGUGAAGAAUUUCACCAACAGUUCAGGGCCUUUCUGGCUUCUGGCCAAUCUUGGGAGAGAAGGGGUUUCUUUGUGGACUUGACUCCCUUAUCUGAUAGAUUCAUUGUGUUCACUCACAGCUUCUUGGGCUGUGCUGAUUAUCUCCGUCUACAGCUGAAAAACGAGGAAUCAGGGAAUGCGAGUUAGGGAAAGACUGCUAUCUCUGGUGUGAUGUGGUUUCCAGGCAGAAUGCUGGAAAGGUCAGUGUGCCUCCUUUACCAUGUAGUUCUCUGGAUUGCAGAGUGGUACAAACUGUUACUUACAUCCACUUAGGAGUACAGCAAUGAAAAAGAUGAUGCCUGCCUUUUAGAGGCUAUUAAAUGACCAAUGAUGGAGUGAUAAGGGCCCAGCUACUCUAGGAGGCAACUGUUUUUUCCUCUAUUAAUAGGGAAACCAAGCUACAGUUAAGAGACUUGCCCACGUUCAGACUUGUAACACUUUUUCAAGCCAGUGGCUCCUCCCAAAUGGCCAAGGUGUCCCCACCCAUUCUCCUGACCUGCCCAGCCUUGUGGUUGCUGUCCAGGGAGCUAAGGCUCUCACCAAACAAACUUGAAGAUCUGGCAGACCUAACAGACCUGGCCUUUCCUCUCGGCCUCUGGCUUUCUGUCUCUUUCAUCCUCCUCUGCCUUUCCCCUGCCCUUGAUCCCUUCUGCAGGUCUUGACUUGUUUCAGGAAACAGGUCCCAUCCCAUGGACUCCCAUUCUGGGGAGCCAGCGCUCCUGCCCUGUGGGACCUGUGACAUGGUUUUCCGCUCCUCAGCUCUGUUAGCCACCCACACACAGCGCUUCUGCAUUGGCCACCCGACCCAAGAGAAGACAUUUGGAGCACAGGCCUCAGUUGCCACUGAACCCCAAGGGGCCACGGUAAGGGCCUCCAUGGCCAUGGGUGGGGAUUCAAAGGAGCAGGACCUUUAUAAUUCCUCAUCCUCCUACACCCUGUCCCCAGGUUGUGCCACAAGAUCUCCAGGGCCUCCCAGACCAGCAGGCCAGUAAAUCUGCUCUAAAGAGGUUAACAGAGGAGGUACAGCUGCCUACCUUUCCCCAGGGCUCAAAACGUUGAGCGUCUUCCCCAAACCUGUAGAUCAUACUUGGGACAGAUUCUGCCCACACAGAGAUCGCGGAUCGCUGUUACCUCCAGGUGCAGUGGCUGCGGCUAUCCCUACAGGAAAUGCGGCCCUGGAUAACAGAGGUCCCCAGGGUGCUCGCGGGGUCCUGGACACGUUACGAGGCGCGCCCUCAGUGUCCCAUGUCCGAGGCGGUGGGAGGCCCCAGCGAGCGGCUGCGAGCGCUGCUCAGGACUCGCGCGAGGCGCGUGGCGGAGACGGAAGCGCAGAGCUGGGCCCUGCAGCAACGCGGCCAGGGUGAAGGAGAUGGGGGGCGGGGACCAAGGACCUCCUCUGCCCUUACCCUUUGGCUUAAGCUUGCUCGCGCCGGUUCUGACUCGGCCCGCAUUCCCUCAGAACUGAGCCGGCGCCUCCAAGGUGUGGCCUCUACGCGGGGCGGGAUAUCCCGCCUCUUCGGCCUGGAGCAGGAGAUUCGAGAACUACGAACUGAGGCCGGUAGGACGCAGGGAGCUCUAGAGGUGUUGGGAGCCCGCAUUCAGGAGCUGCAGGCGGAGCCAGGGAACCCGCUGAGCUCCGGUCGAGAGGCAAAACUCUAUUCUCCAGUGCUAAAGGCCAACCCGGGAACUCUGGCUGCCGAAAUCGGGGCCCUGCGGGAGGCCUACAUUCGAGACGGAGGCCGGGACCCCGGUGUGCUGGGCCAGAUAUGGCAGUUGCAGGUGGAGGCGUCUGCACUGGAGCUGCAGCGGUCGCAGACCCGCAGAGGAAGGGCAGGUGCCACCUCAGGGGAGCUUCCAGUAGUGGAGGCUGAAAACCGGCGCCUGGAGGCAGAAAUCUUGGCCUUGCAAAUGCAGCGGAGUCAGGCAGCCUUGGGGCCCCGGGAUCUGCGACUCCUGUGGGGUGCCAGCCUACAACCGAAGGGGAGGAGAGAUCCCCCACUCCUUUCACCGCCAGUGGCACCACCACUGCCACCACUUCCAGGCUUCACGGAGCCACAGCUUCCUGGAACAAUGACCAGAAACCUGGGCCUGGACCCACACUUCCUCCUACCCACAUCGGACGUGCUGGGCCCUGCACCCUACGAUCCUGGGGCUGGCCUGGUCAUUUUCUAUGAUUUCCUGCGGGGCCUUGAGGCUUCCUGGAUUUGGGUGCAACUAAGGACUGGCUUGGCACGCGAUGGACAGGAUACAGGAGGGACCACAGCAUUGCCCCCAGCCAUUUGCCUGCCCCCACCUCCUGCUCCCGGGCCCAUGGGCAACUGUGCUAUCCUUGCCAGCAGGCAGCCUGUGCCCAGACUGCCACCCUCACCAUCAGUAUCUUUGGUCUGUGAGCUGCAGGUCUGGCAGGGCCUGGCAUGGGCUAGGGCACCACAGCCAAAGGCUUGGGUCUCACUUGGGCUAUUUGACCAAGAGCAGCGGGUGCUAAGCGGCCGCUGGCGCCUCCCACUUCGGGCCCUUCCUCUGGACCCCAGCCUUAGCCUCAGGCAGCUGAAUGGGAUUCCUCAGGUGAGUGUGGUGGGUGGGGAUUGGGCAUACAGCAAGGUACAAGUGCAGUACCAUUUCAUCUCUCCUCAGGCAGGUCAGGCUGAGCUCUUUCUGCGGCUGGUGAAUGCAAGAGAUGCAGCUGUCCAGACACUGGCAGAGAUCAAUCCAGCAAGUGCCCAUGAGUACCAGUACCCACCUCCGCUUUAAGAAAAACCUGGGUCAAAAGAGCAAGAGUCACUGAUAUUCUAAGUUCCAUUAAUGAAAACCAAAUUAUUUGGAAGGAUAAUCCCUCUUCUUAAUUCAAUCAACAAUACUUGGGCACCUAAUAUUGUUGGGCACAAUUCAAGACACUGUGAUUAUAACAAGAAUGAGCUAAGACCACAUGGACAAUGUCAAAUUGAAGCAGAGAACUUAAGAUCUUCUACUUAUGAAUGAUUACAUAAACCCAAGGUCACAGCAGCAGUACUCACAAUAAAAAGCAAGGAAAUUCUGACACACCACAACAUGGAUGAACGUUAAGAACACUAUGCUAAGUGAAAUAAGCCAG